rnacentral:rRNA from 1 species
GAUGAACGCUAGCGGGAGGCCUGACACAUGCAAGCCGAGCGGUAUUGUUUCUUCGGAAAUGAGAGAGCGGCGUACGGGUGCGUAACACGUGUGCAACCUGCCUUUAUCUGGGGGAUAGCCUUUCGAAAGGUAGAUUAAUACUCCAUAAUAUAUUGAACGGCAUCGCUUAAUAUUGAAAGCUCCGGCGGAUAGAGAUGGGCACGCGCAAGAUUAGCUAGUUGGGGAGGUAACGGCUCACCAAGGCGAUGAUCUUUAGGGGGCCUGAGAGGGUGAUCCCCCACACUGGUACUGAGACACGGACCAGACUCCUACGGGAGACAGCAGUGAGGAAUAUUGGUCAAUGGGUGCAAGCCUGAACCAGCCAUCCCGCGUGAAGGACGACUGCCCUAUGGGUUGUAAACUUCUUUUGUAUAGGGAUAAACCUACCCUCGUGAGGGUAGCUGAAGGUACUAUACGAAUAAGCACCGGCUAACUCCGUGCCAGCCGCCGCAGUAAAAC